rnacentral:rRNA from 1 species
GGACGAACGCUGGCGGCGUGCCUAAUACAUGCAAGUCGAACGAACUCUGGUAUUGAUUGGUGCUUGCAUCAUGAUUUACAUUUGAGUGAGUGGCGAACUGGUGAGUAACACGUGGGAAACCUGCCCAGAAGCGGGGGAUAACACCUGGAAACAGAUGCUAAUACCGCAUAACAACUUGGACCGCAUGGUCCGAGUUUGAAAGAUGGCUUCGGCUAUCACUUUUGGAUGGUCCCGCGGCGUAUUAGCUAGAUGGUGAGGUAACGGCUCACCAUGGCAAUGAUACGUAGCCGACCUGAGAGGGUAAUCGGCCACAUUGGGACUGAGACACGGCCCAAACUCCUACGGGAGGCAGCAGUAGGGAAUCUUCCACAAUGGACGAAAGUCUGAUGGAGCAACGCCGCGUGAGUGAAGAAGGGUUUCGGCUCGUAAAACUCUGUUGUUAAAGAAGAACAUAUCUGAGAGUAACUGUUCAGGUAUUGACGGUAUUUAACCAGAAAGCCACGACUAACUACGUGCCAGCAGCCGCGGUAAUACGUAGGAGGCAAGCGUUGUCCGGAUUUAUUGGGCGUAAAGCGAGCGCAGGCGGUUUUUUAAGUCUGAUGUGAAAGCCUUCGGCUCAACCGAAGAAGUGCAUCGGAAACUGGGAAACUUGAGUGCAGAAGAGGACAGUGGAACUCCAUGUGUAGCGGUGAAAUGCGUAGAUAUAUGGAAGAACACCCAGUGGCGAAGGGCGGCUGUCUGGUCUGUAACUGACACUGAGGCUCGAAAGUAUGGGUAGCAAACAGGAUUAGAUACCCUGGUAGUCCAUACCGUAAACGAUGAAUGCUAAGUGUUGGAGGGUUUCCGCCCUUCAGUGCUGCAGCUAACGCAUUAAGCAUUCCGCCUGGGGAGUACGGCCGCAAGGCUGAAACUCAAAGGAAUUGACGGGGGCCCGCACAAGCGGUGGAGCAUGUGGUUUAAUUCGAAGCUACGCGAAGAACCUUACCAGGUCUUGACAUACUAUGCAAAUCUAAGAGAUUAGACGUUCCCUUCGGGGACAUGGAUACAGGUGGUGCAUGGUUGUCGUCAGCUCGUGUCGUGAGAUGUUGGGUUAAGUCCCGCAACGAGCGCAACCCUUAUUAUCAGUUGCCAGCAUUAAGUUGGGCACUCUGGUGAGACUGCCGGUGACAAACCGGAGGAAGGUGGGGAUGACGUCAAAUCAUCAUGCCCCUUAUGACCUGGGCUACACACGUGCUACAAUGGAUGGUACAACGAGUUGCGAACUCGCGAGAGUAAGCUAAUCUCUUAAAGCCAUUCUCAGUUCGGAUUGUAGGCUGCAACUCGCCUACAUGAAGUCGGAAUCGCUAGUAAUCGCGGAUCAGCAUGCCGCGGUGAAUACGUUCCCGGGCCUUG